UCAGAUAAUUUGCUCUAUUUUUAUCCAUCUAAUCUAUUUUCUCAUUUGUAUCUAUCUAUUCCUCUUAAAGAACAAACAUGUCUGGCCAAAAAAGGACUUGGCAGCAAGUCAAGAUUAAAUACAAGAAUAUUUUGCAGGCUGGUAUGUGACUUGUUUGCGGAGAACAUAGGUGACAUGUUUGCUGACAUUUUUUUGUCUGUGCUGAUUUUAGCAAUAAAAAAAAAGUCAUAUAUCUGGUACGGGGGGUGGCCCUCCAACCCAAGACUUCACCACAGCAGAGGAGCUGGCCCUGGACUUAAAUAAAGGGAAGCCAGUGAUUGAAGGGAUCCAGGGAGGGACAGCCACUGACUCUGGCCCAGCAAGGGAUACUGGCCUCUUCAUACAAGUGGCUGGCAACACCCUUACACUUUUGGAGCCACCAGACUAUGAUUCGCCGCAGUGGAGUGCACUUCUGCCGAUGAUGAGACCGUGUCGCUGGACUCCAGAAGGCUCGAGGAUCCUGACACUGGGCAGCCUGAUAAGCAGCCUGGUAACAUAAAUUCACAAACUGUCAGAUAUCUCUACACAACGCAUCUUAAGAGACAGAUUGAGCUGUCAGAAGUCAAGAUUGAUGUGAACAAAAGAAAGCUGCAGGACAUGGACCUUGAUAUGCAAAUUAAAUGCAAGACACUGAGGAAACUAGAACUGGAAAUCCAGAAACUAGAAAGAGAAGUGACUUCAGUUCAUACUGUAACCAUGACUGUAACACAAUGUAUUAAUCAUCAUAAUUUUUUCUCUCCAAAGCUCCAAGCUGACAAGUAAU